UUUCAGGUAGGUAACAUUGGUGGGAAAGAAUUUUCUGAGUCACUAGCCCCAGAUGUCUAGAAACUUCUUAUUUCAAGUAGCGGCCGUCCUGUUGUCAGAAAGAAGGCUGCUCUAUGCCUUCUGCGGCUUUAUAGGAAGAAUCCUGAUGUUGUGAAUAUUGAUGUCUGGGCUGAUCGAAUGGCACAGCUUCUAGAUGAGCGCUACCUAGGUGUGCUGACAUCUGUCAUGACUCAUGAGCCUUUUUGUUUCAUUAGUAUCCAACAAUGCGGAAGCAUAUUGGAAUUGCCUUCCAGAAUGUGUAAGAAUUAAUACUGGAGAGGCUAGCAAGAAAUCAAGAUAUUCCACAGGAAUACACUUACUACGGAAUCCCAUCUCCUUGGCUUCAGGGAUGAUGUGGCUCUGGAAAUCCUCCAACAUGAUCCCUUCGCGGUAAAAUAGUUGCAGUUCUCUCAGACUUGCAUUUUAUUCUUCGGCUAAGGUUGUUGUGCAUGUAUUUCCAUCUUUUUACAAAUCUGAUUGUCUCAUGUCUUGUUGACAUUUUGCAUGCUCUUCUGAAUUUUGAAGUCAUGUAUGUUCUAUCCAAUUUCCAUGUAAUAAGUCUCAUUGUUAAUAUCUAGGAUCAUAUCAAGUGCCCAGCCAGAGAGUAAUGGGCAGCUUGUUAAGUUUGCUACAGAGAGAGGCUCAAAAACUAGGCUUGAUGUAUGAACUCUUUGUUUUAAUCUUGAUGUAUGAACCCUUUCGUUUAAUCUCGAUGUAUGAGCUCAUGUGAUUGAA